rnacentral:lncRNA from 1 species
AUUAUUAUUCUCCAUAAAAGACUUGAAAAAAGUAUCCUUCAUCCUAGGGAUGAAGAUCUAUAGAGAUAGAUCUAAAAGGAUACCUGUAUUAUCCCAAUCCAAUGUACAUAGAAUAUUUAUGAGUAGAAUUUAUUCUAUCACGUACACCAUGUACGAGAUCAGAUAUGGUAUACCUACUAGGGAUAGUGAGUGGAUACCUGCA